AGUCUAGAGUGGUUUAUCUAAUUUCUUAGAACUACGUUUCCCAGAGAGCCAUGCAGCAGAGGGAGGCUGUGUCACCUGACCAGGACUCUGGAGAGACAAUGGCGGCGCCCAUGUUGCGCUGGUGCUGUCCUGGAAGGCGUUUUGCUUUCGCCCGGGUUGGCUGCGGUUCUUGCCACAGAAGAGGGCCUCCGACUGGGUCCACGUCCAACGGGAAAAGAGGGCAGAGCUCAGUGGCUCAGCAGCCCCACAUCACAGCCCAGAAGCCGAGAAAAGGUGAACGAGAAUGGGCCGCGGUGGUAGGAUUGGAAAUUCAUGCCCAGAUUGCCUCCAACUCCAAACUCUUUUCUGGAUCUCAAGUCUGCUUUGCAGCUCCUCCCAAUUCUUUGGUAUCUUUUUUUGAUGCAUCUCUACCUGGAACUUUGCCGGUCCUCAACAGGCGGUGCGUGGAAGCAGCCGUGAUGACCGGCCUGGCCCUGGACUGUCACAUCAACAGGAAGUCCUUGUUUGACCGGAAGCACUACUUCUAUGCAGACCUCCCUGCGGGCUACCAGAUUACCCAGCAGAGGCUACCGAUCGCUGUGAACGGGAGCUUGGCGUACAGCGUCUGUGUGGGGAGGAAGCCAAGUCAGGUGGUCACCAGGACCGUGAGGGUGAAGCAGAUCCAGCUGGAGCAGGACAGUGGCAAAAGCCUGCACGACGACCUGCGGUCCCAGACGCUCAUUGACCUGAACAGGGCAGGGAUCGGCCUUCUGGAAGUGGUCCUGGAGCCGGACAUGUCCUGUGGAGAAGAGGCAGCCACAGCUGUCAGGGAGCUGCAGCUGAUUCUUCAGGCCUUGGGGACCAGCCAGGCGAACAUGGCAGAGGGCCAGUUAAGAGUGGAUGCCAAUAUAUCUGUGCAUCGCCCUGGGGAGCCUUUGGGCAUUCGAACUGAAGUGAAGAAUCUCAACAGUGCCCGAUUUCUGGCCAAAGCUAUAGACUAUGAAAUUCAGAGGCAAAUCAAUGAACUUGAGAAUGGAGGUGAAAUUCUGAAUGAAACGCGCUCGUUUGAUUACAAGCUUGGGUGCACCGUGCCGAUGAGAGACAAAGAAGGAAAACAAGACUACAGGUUCAUGCCGGAGCCCAACCUGCCCCCGCUGCUGCUCUACGACUCAGGGUCCCUCCCCUCCGGCGCAGACCCGCAGCAGGUGAUCAACAUCGACCAGCUGCGGGAGCGGCUCCCCGAGCUGCCCCACGUGACCCGCCAGAGGCUCGUGCAACAGUACGGGAUGCUGCCGGAGCACAGCUGUGUCCUGCUGAAUGAAGUUGGCCUACUGGAGUUCUUCCAAAAUGUGAUCAAAGAAACUAGGGCAGAGCCCAAAAAAGUGACUAGUUGGGUCCUCAACACUUUUCUGGGCUUUUUAAAGCAACAGAACCUUGCCGUCAGUGAGAGUCCUGUCACACCCUCUGCCCUGGCUGAGCUGCUGGACCUGCUGGACAGGAAGGCCAUCUCUUCGUCCGCAGCCAAGCAGGUGUUUGAGGAACUGUGGAGGAAUGAAGGCAAGACCCCAACACAGAUCGUUGCAGAAAAGAAGCUUGAACUGCUGCAGGACCCAGAGGCCCUGGAGCAGCUCUGCCGCUCCACGCUGGAGGCGCACCCCGACGUGGUAAUGGAUCUAAAGAGGGGAAACCCCAGAGCUAUAAACAAACUGAUCGGGUUGGUCCGAAAAGCGACUCUGGGCCGAGCAGACCCGACAGCGAUCAAGGAGGUGCUGGAGAGGCAGCUUCAUCCUGACGGGUUCGGGUCCCCCUGCCAAGGCCCGGCCAAAGCCUGUGCAAGCUGAUGUCCGGGGCCCUGCCCACCUGCGCCUGGAGAUGCCGCCUCCACGAAGGCUUCAUGGACAUCACAGGGUUCCAGGAGAGGUGCGGCGACGCCCCGACUUUACACUGAGUUCUGUCUGUGCUGAGAAGAGGACAAAUGUCUUCAUCAUGAGCGGUGCUCCCGAGGCAGCAGGGACCCAGAGAAGAGCAGACCGUCCCCCACCAGCGCCUCAGCUGUUCACGCUUCUGGUUGUGGACGCUGGCUCAGGAUUUCCCUAACUGGGAGUAUUGGGAGGACUGUCCUUCCCAGCCAGAAGAGCAGGGGCAGGAAGGAAACGAGCCAUCUGGUUUAUUUCAGACAGGCAUGAAGAGGUAAGGUUUUACUUUGUAAAAAAUGCGUGUUGAGAAUAUGUGACAUCACCUGGGAAGCCGUGUGCCCCUUGCAGGUCCUGUUAACGGUUCUGAAAACCACUGGGCCUGACAGUAAACUGCUCAUCAAGCCACUUUUCGAGACAGAAAGUCAGAGCCAGUCCCCAAACCCUGACCCCCAACCCCUUUGCUCCUGAGACUGGAAUCUGGCAGCAGCAUGAUUUUGUAAGAAACAGUAAGAGUUCAGUUUUGUUUUCCAAACUCCAUUUUCACCAGAAAUCUGGCUUCUUGGUCAUCAGACUUUACAGAAAGCACUAGCCAACCUUUGCAGAUCAUUUUAAAUCAAGGGCUGACUUGAAUGGGACUGGGGAGUGGCGGGGACAGUUCAAUGAAGACCAUUUACCAAUAAUAUCGUGUCAUAUGUAAACUGUAUUAUGGACUGAUCAUUUUGGAGAAAAAUGCCAUUGCUGGGGUGAGGGUGGGGGCAGAGAGAAGGAAAUGGGUAAAAGGGGGUCAGCUGUCUGGCGGCGGCAGAAACAGCCCUUGGUGGUGAGCACACUGUAAGGUACAGUGAAGCAGAAAUGUGUCGUCCACAUGAAACAUACAGUGUUAUAAACCGGUUGCCUCAGUUUAACACGGAGCUCUGAAUCUCUGCUGAUUAUUGUCCAGCUCUGACAACUGCCCGUUAUCUUGAAUGCUCACUUCCAAAAUCCAAAAAAUCAGAUUAUGUUGUUACAACUGUUAAUAGGAAAAAAAAAAAGCACAGCUGAUAUCUUACUUGGAGCCUGACGAGAUUAGAAGUACGUCUUUAUGUAAUACCCUAAGAAAUUCACAACGUGUGGCUCUACUUGUAAAAGGGGCUUCAACGAAAUACAGUGUUAAAUGCAUUUUUGCAUGAGUGUGAGUUUAGUCUGGUGGUCCGCUUUUCUGGGGGAAAUCUCAUUAAAUGGAUGAGUCGGCGCCACAGGUGCCGCGAUCGCUGUCUCUCACUGGAAUGCACAUACCUGUGGGCCGGGAGAGGGCCGUGCUGGGAGACUGGCUUCCCGGCGGACCUGCUCAGGUACCAGGUGUGUGCUCUGGCUGAGGAGCAGGUUGGCUGGCUGGUUCAGGUGGGAGGGGAGGGCUUAGCAUGCUACCAGGCACAGAGUACGUUUUUAGUAAAAGUUCACUAGAUUUCUAAAACUAAAUUAAUGGACAGGGACUUCCCUAGCAGUCCAGGGGUUAAGACUCCGUGCUUCCACUGCAGGGGGUGUGGGUUUGAUCCCUGGUCAGGGAACUAAGAUCCCCCACAUCUCACAGCCAGAAGAAAGAACCAAGAAAGAUUGCCUUUUGUGGGGGCCCUUUCGUAUGAGAGAUGGGUGCCUCCAACCUCUGGGCUUUUAAAUUCUAGGACAAGGAAGGAGCUUCUUAACUCUGUCCAGGGUUCUGCCUCUAGGUAAACUUCUGUUCCCAUCUUUUAAGAUGUAGGCAACCCUGAGGGAAAAAAGUUGCAACCCACUCCAGUAUUCUUGCCUGGAGAAUCCCAGGGACAGAGGAGCCUAGUGGGCUGCCGUCUAUGGGGUCGCACAGAGUCAGACACGACUGAAGCGACUUAGCAGUAGCAGCAGCAAGGAUGUUUUAGCUGAGCUCCCCCCUCCUUUUUUAUAAUUAGUGAGAACCUGGAAGAAGACUAUGAAUUUUUUUCAGGUAAACACCCUCCUAAAGCUUUGAGUUGGCUCAUUCAGUACAUAGCAUAUGACCAGGACCCACCUAAAUUGUAUUUUUCAUGUCUGUUGAGUUCAGCAGCAUCAUUUCAAGGAUCCUACGUAGUGGCUAUUUGGGGGAAAAAGAACACUAAAUCUAACGGAAAGGCCAUCAUUUUCCACCCCCAAAAGUAGCACGUAGAUCGCUGCCAUGUCUCUUCAGCAGAUUUUAGACAAAUGCAUUCACAGAGUAUUUGUGAGCAGAGCUGAUCCCUGGUGGUCAGAUGGAAAGCAUCUGAUUGAAAUCUUCUCUCUGCCUCCCUUAGUCAAGCAUCUUAGCCAAGAUCAUUUAAAUAGCAUCUUCAACCCCAAAUUCCCUCUUAUAAAUAUCUCUGCAGGGCAGAAUGGGGCCUUGUUACAGGUGGGCCUUUUCUAGACGUGUCCCAAUAAAAGCCAGCUGCCACCCCAAGCAGCACAGACUUCUGCAGCCUAGGCUCCAUGAAACGCGUAAUCUACUUCUGCAGCCUCGGCUCCGUGAAACACGUAAUCUACUUCUGCAGCCUCGGCUCCGUGAAACGCGUAAUCUACUUCUGCGGCCUCGGCUCCGUGAAACGCGUAAUCUACUUCUGCAGCCUCGGCUCCGUGAAAUGCGUAAUCUGGCCCAAGAGCUGCCGCCACCCUUGUCAGGCUGGGAAAGGACACAGUGAACCGCAGGUCCCCCCCAGAUGCCUGAGGGGUGUGGGGGCGCUGCUGGCAGCCUUGUUCCUUGUGGGGGACGGUAGGGAAAAAAAUACACAGUGACGUGGGGGCAGGGAGGGGCAGGCUCAGCUAAAACCGGUCCCCAUCUCAGGACUGCAAGUACAAAGCCAAAGAACUUUCCCCGCAAAGCCUCAAGGAAGAUUUUUUACCGGAGCCCUGUUUAUCCUGUUAAUGAGCUGCCAGGAUUAUCUGUUCUCCAGAACAAGGAAUGGCCUAAUUAAAAGCCUGAAUAGAGAGAGGAUUUACUGAGGCAAAGUUAUCCUGAAACAAUUCUUAGUAUUUCGAGAGCUCUUUCUAAAGCAUUUAGGUUUAUGAUGGUCAUUCAAAAGUGGGGGGAAAAGCCAGCUCCAUUUUCUUAAAAUGUUUCCUCCGUGAUGUGAUUUAAGAGUAGAGUAUAAACUUGUUUGACAGUGUUCUAUCUUAGGCUGUUUUAGAUGGAGAAUUAGUGUUGUGUGAUUUACAGACUGAUGGCUGAAGCAAGGGGUCGAGAAUAUCUUCAAUGACCGGAAGCCUGGGCCACAGAGGCCUGCUGUUCAGGAAGAGCUAAUACUACUCAGCUGGCUGGGGUGUGGGCGAGCCAGAUUACACCCAGCGGGCCAGUGCCUUCAGGCAGCACCUGCAGUAGCGCUGUUUUGUCUGGUCACUGAGUCACAUCUCACUCUUUGCGACCCCUGGACUGCAGCACACCAGGCUUCCCUGUCCAUCACCAUCUCCCAGAGUUUGGUGUCCACUGAACUCAAGUUCACGUCCAUUGAGUUGGUGAUGCUAGCUAAUCGUCUCAUCCUCUGCCGCCCCCUUCACCUGCCAUCAGUCUUUGCAGCAUCAGAGUCUUUUCCACUGAGUGGGCUGUUCACUUCAGGUGCAGUAAUAGCUGACCUGCAAUAAUGUCCUUCAUUUAAAUGGCUGAGUGUGCCAGCCAUUCAGUAAAUGCGUGGCUGACGAUUAGUGACCACACUGACCCGCCCGCCCCCACGUGAGGUUGGGCGUGCACUGCAGACGUUCACCCUUCCGUCUGUGGCACGUCCCACCCCCGCCCCAGCCGCACUUCCUGUAGGAGAGCGGCCGAGGCACACUGACCCACGUUCGGGUCAGGCAGCCCACCCGCAGUCCCAAACCUCUGAACCCAGCUGGGAGCCCAGCCUCGUGGACUGCGCGACCAGGCUGAGCCAGAGACAUAAAAAACAACCCUCGGCCCCGAGCACCGUGUCCUGUUUCUAGAUUCUGUACCUAGGAGGACGCGCUCCCCCAUUACCCUGGCCCCAGGAUGUCUUAAUGGCUUGAAAUCAACCACUGCGGCAGGCCUCAAGAAAAGCCACUUGCUGAGGAAAAGGUACCCCUGAGGACCCACGAGGGAAUAAACAGCCCCUUCCUACAUGUUACGGAGACACUGAUUCCAAUCCUAGCACCUCAAAGUAUUUUACUAAGUAAAAUGGGGACCAUUUCCUCUAAAUAUCAGGAAAAGGAAAUACCUACAAAAAAACCACACAUCUCUGAUUGGUUACUCCAGCACUGCCAUUUCAUGUCUGGGACUCUGUACUUGAGUCCGUAAAAUUGUAUUUUAGGCUAAACUCAACCUGGAAUUGCUUUAAAAUUUUAUAAACGUUUACUUGGCUAGUUCCAAAAAUCAAUUUUAAAAUAUCCCAGCACUCUCAUAUACUUUGAACCACAAAACCCAGUUCAUCUAGAACUUCAGAUCAGACUCUGAAUAUGAAUCUCAGUGAAGGACGUGCUACUGCAGGAACUUGACUCACCUCUGCUGCCCGGGACACCGGGCCUGACACAGCGACCCCAACCUGGGCAGCACCGAAGCCCGUGCCCACUGAGCCUUCCAGCCCGCAGCACAGCAGCUGACUUGGGGGCCCGCCACGUGGUAAAGCGUCCACGCGGAAACAUUUUACAGCAUGCCCAGUAUCAUUCAAAAUUCUUCCCCAAUCUCAUUGCAAAGGAGAUUUCUAAACAUCCCACCUGCUACUUUAUGACUAGAAUAUUCUACUUCAUUGUGUGAGGUCAGUCACUCAGUCAUGUCUCUUUGCAACCCCAUGGACUGUAGCCCACCAGGCUCCUUCGUCCAUGGGAUUCUCCAGGCAAGAAUACUGCAGUGGGUUGCCAUGCCUUUCUCCAGGGGAUCUUCCUGACCCAGGGAUCAAACCUGCGUCUCAACAUCUCCUCCAUUGGCAGGCAGGUUCUUUAACACUAAUGCCACCCGGGAAGUCCAUCUACUUCAGUACCAAGAUUUUUCCCAGCAAGGAUUCCCAUCGCCACCCGCUGCCAUUCAUCCCUGUCUGCCUGGACAGUGUUCGUGUCUCCAGACUCCUCAGGGCUGCUCUUCUGCUUCAGCUUCCGGCCUCGUGUGCCCUCACACACGGCCACCCCACCCCCAAACAUCCUUGCCCAGCCCACCUGGCUGUUCCCCCUCGACUGCAGAAGUUCACCCGUUCCCACGAAUGUAUUUCCAGGUUCAUUUUCUGACUUUGUUUUGAGAAACCCUGGACAUAACACUCGGUCGAGGGCUGCAGUGGAUCCAGAAACCCAAACUGGUGUCUGCCUCCAGAGAGACAGGGCUGGCAUGUUGCUACCAGCACCCACCACGGGAGUUAAUCCUCCUGCCUCUCACUCAGACUUGGGUCACCUCCGUCCUCCUCGAAGUCUACUUCAGUACCUAUUUUAAAUACAUACUCUUCCCCAGGGGGCGCCUUCCACAUAGGGGACUGUAGUUUUCUGUAAUAAAGCAAGAAAAAGACUCCACACCAUCACCAGAUGAUGGAGAGAAGUGUAAAUCACACCAGAAAGCUAAAGGAUAUGGCUUCCGGAGGCAACUUGAGCAUCUUAUAUACCCAGUGAGUCCAAACUGGAAGAUAAAUAACUUAUGCAAAGCAAAGCUGGAAGGUAAUAAAUUACAACCGAAACUCCAUCUUUCCGCUCCUCUCUCCCCGCCUCCGAGACGCUUUCUUUUCCAGUGGAAACUUGUGCAAAUACUUGUCAGCGCUGGGAAGCCAAGAGCAGGCCAGUGUGCCCUUCAGCCGGGCAGGCAAACCGGAAGUCAGUGCACAGCGAAUCGGUAUCUCUGGUUCCUUGCCUGGACCCGGAGGACUGUGAGGCUGGCUCCGAGGAGCCACCCGGCCCCAGCCAGCGCUCCAGGGGCCUCAUCCCGGGGGGCUUGCCCGCUUUGGAUACAGAGCUGCUUCAAGGUCCCUGAACACAAUGGCAGCCUCAGCUCUGCAGCAUCUCAUGCGCUUUUCUCCUUCAUGCCCCUGCUGAACUAGGGCCUGAUUAAAACCACACCAGCGCUCCUGAGGCGCUGCCGCCAGGGUCUCAGCAAGACACCCACAAGGAGCAGAGGCCCGGGGCUGCCAAUUUCCUUCCAAACAGAGCUCAUCCUGGUCCACGCUUCUCGCCUGCACACAGAACAGGGCAGUGGAACCUGAUAACAUCCAUGAAUAUCGGUUGUUUAUGGUCUUGUUUUUUUUAGCCCACAAUUAUUUUGUGUGCGUCUCCCUCUCCGUGGGAGUAGACCGAGGCUCUGAGUAUAAUUACGCCUGGCGGAGUGGGCUGCAGAGCAGAGAUGCGCUAGUACAUCAUGAUGGGGCCGUCUAAUGAGCCCCAUUACUCAGAAGGCAGCGUUUCUGUGCAGAGCGAGGCCCCAGCAGGCACUUGGCUUGGCGGGGCUCCCUAUGACCUGCUGGCCCUUAAAUCCCAGUUCCCAAAGAGGCUGUGCAGUCCCUGUUUCUCUACAAAGUGCAACACAUUAGAAAAAGCAGAUUUUUAAAUAAUUACCAAGGUUUGUACCGAUUGUAUUUAGUUUACCUUUAUCCUUUCCCCCACUCCAUACUCCCCAAAAAUACCCACCAUGAGAUAGUUUCACAAAUGAAUCAGUUUUUCAUAAAACACUUAAAAAAAUAACAAUGCUUGUCUUCUUACAUAAGCAUCAGAUACCACGCUUUGUUCAUAGGGUUGAUCAGAGUCCUAAAAACCAAAGUAACAGUUUGCAUAGGCAGAGUUCAUUGUGUGCAAAUCUUACUAAAAUAAGGCUAUUUUCAGUGUUUUAGGUGGUGAUACAGUGAGUAAAGAAAGCUCUCAAGCAACAAGACAUUUCCCUGCAUUCCACAUUCUCUCCAGCUGUACCUGACUUCCUAGGCAGAGAGCGGAGACCAGCGGAUUUGCCUGCACCGUAAGGCAACAUGUGUUGGACGGAAUACAAGUGUUGGAAGCAAAACGCAAAAGGACGGAUGAUCCGGGCUCGUGUUGGGGGCAAGAGGGGCUCCGUCUUUACUCCUCCCUUUGUAAGGGGGGCCACGAUGCGGAAGGCAGCCGGGGCAGGCAUGUGUUCGCAUGCCGCUGGAGGGCCAGCCCUCUGGCACGGGCACCUUCAGAAGUCACUGACCCCUGGGGAUCGCUGGGUGUGACCUACUGCUGCAAGGCAGGACCUACGCUCCUACUCUAAAGAAUGGGAGGAUAAGGACCAAGACCUCUUGAGAAGGAAAAAAAAUGGAGCCCAGAAAGCCUGCCAAAGGAGCAACCACGUUAGUGGGAAGACGAGGUGGGGAAGCCUGGUGGCUGGAGAGAGAGGAGGUGCAGAGAAGGCCCCCCUCCCCCAAAAUCAAGUAUCGUCAGGAAGUCUCUAAGUAGAGAUGUCUAUAAGCAGCUUUGCAUUCAACAUUCAGUCAAGACUAACACCGCAGAAAACCAGAACCAGACUACCAGCACGCGUCGUCCGGGUCGCCCAGGAUCCUGCAGCAGAGGAUGGAGUGUUCCUGGGCCAGGGCAGCCAGCUCCUUCAGGAACUCAGGGAAGAGGGCGGCUGCCAGCAUGGUGUCCCGCACCGCUGGGGGCAGGCUGGGGGGCGCCCCCGCCACCUUGGCUCUGUUCGUCAGGAAAGGCUGAAGCACUUUUGGGGGGCCAUCCAAAAAGUUCUUGCCGCUUCCUGUCCUGGAGGCAUCCUGAACGGGAUCUGAAACCAGAAGGCAGGCAGCCAUGGUGAAGAGCCUCCGGGAGCCCUUCUGUCCACCCUUAAGUGACGUGUGUGUGCUAGAACCGGGGUGGGGGGGGGGGGGGCGGUGCAGAUGUUCAGUUCCCACUCUGACUGCAAUCUGAAGAGCCCCCCUCUACUUCCCUCUGAGACACUCAGAUCCACCCAGCAGAUCAGCUCCAGCAUCAGGCAUGUAAUGAGAGUUUUAUCCUAAUUCCCAUAUGAGGCUCUACAAGCAGGAAUUGUGGCAAGAAUAUAGGUUCAUCAGGAACCCUCUGCGCCUGGGGCGAGACAAAGGGAAAAGGCGUCUCCUCCCUCCGAGUCAGCCAAGUGAAGACUCAGGACAACAGGGACACCGACCCUCCAUGCCUCCCGGAGUCGGGGUGACCACCCUCCCUUUGCCAGCUGAGCCCUGACCACCUCGCAGGGUUGUGCAAGGCGGCCUGAGUCACAUACACCAUGCUGCCCACGGCCUGGGCACAGGGCUCCGGCCUCCAGGGCCAGAAUGGAUGAAGCCUUUUCGAGGUUGGAACGAUGGAGAGGAAGCUGAAUGCUCAUAAGACCAGACUGGGAGCUCUCCACUACUACGGGCAUCUCGCAGCAGCAGGUGGCUUGGACCUUCCAUUCAAGCAAGGUUUCCAGGAGUUUCAAUCUCAGUUUCAAUAAUGUUUGUCCAAGAUGAUAUGAACCAAAUUUUGUAUAUCCAAGUGAUUUGCAUUUUCAUAUCGCAUCAGUUUACCAAUUAAAAUGGUUCAACUUA